CCUACGGGUGGCAGCAGUGAGGAAUAUUGGUCAAUGGGCGUAAGCCUGAACCAGCCAAGUAGCGUGCGGGAUGAAUGCCCUAUGGGUUGUAAACCGCUUUUGCACGGGGACAACACCCGCCACUUGUGGCGGUCCUCAGGUUCCGUGAAAAAAAGGGCUGGGUAAACUCCGUCCCGCCACCCGGGUAAUUAGGAAGGCGCGAGCGUUAUCCGGAUUUAUUGGGGUUAAAGGGUGCGUAGGCGGGCGUGCAAGUCAGCGGUAAAAUCGCGCGGCUCAACCCUGCCCCGCCGUUGAAACUGGAGGGCUUGAGUUCGCGACAGGCAGGCGGAAUGCGUGGUGUAGCGGUGAAAUGCAUAGAUAUCACGAGGAACCCCGAUUGCGAAGGCAGCCUACCGGGGUGCAACUGACGCUGAGGCUCGAAGGUGCGGGUAUCGAACAGGAUUAGAUACCCGUGUAGUC
rnacentral:rRNA from 1 species